rnacentral:rRNA from 1 species
GACGAACGCUGGCGGCGUGCUUAACACAUGCAAGUCGAACGGAAAGGCCCUGCUUUUGUGGGGUGCUCGAGUGGCGAACGGGUGAGUAACACGUGAGUAACCUGCCCUUGACUUUGGGAUAACUUCAGGAAACUGGGGCUAAUACCGGAUAGGAGCUCCUGCUGCAUGGUGGGGGUUGGAAAGUUUCGGCGGUUGGGGAUGGACUCGCGGCUUAUCAGCUUGUUGGUGGGGUAGUGGCUUACCAAGGCUUUGACGGGUAGCCGGCCUGAGAGGGUGACCGGCCACAUUGGGACUGAGAUACGGCCCAGACUCCUACGGGAGGCAGCAGUGGGGAAUAUUGCACAAUGGGCGGAAGCCUGAUGCAGCAACGCCGCGUGCGGGAUGACGGCCUUCGGGUUGUAAACCGCUUUCGCCUGUGACGAAGCGUGAGUGACGGUAAUGGGUAAAGAAGCACCGGCUAACUACGUGCCAGCAGCCGCGGUGAUACGUAGGGUGCGAGCGUUGUCCGGAUUUAUUGGGCGUAAAGGGCUCGUAGGUGGUUGAUCGCGUCGGAAGUGUAAUCUUGGGGCUUAACCCUGAGCGUGCUUUCGAUACGGGUUGACUUGAGGAAGGUAGGGGAGAAUGGAAUUCCUGGUGGAGCGGUGGAAUGCGCAGAUAUCAGGAGGAACACCAGUGGCGAAGGCGGUUCUCUGGGCCUUUCCUGACGCUGAGGAGCGAAAGCGUGGGGAGCGAACAGGCUUAGAUACCCUGGUAGUCCACGCUGUAAACGGUGGGUACUAGGUGUGGGGUCCAUUCCACGGGUUCCGUGCCGUAGCUAACGCUCUAAGUACCCCGCCUGGGGAGUACGGCCGCAAGGCUAAAACUCAAAGGAAUUGACGGGGCCCCGCACAAGCGGCGGAGCAUGCGGAUUAAUUCGAUGCAACGCGUAGAACCUUACCUGGGUUUGACAUGGAUCGGGAGCGCUCAGAGAUGGGUGUGCCUCUUUUGGGGUCGGUUCACAGGUGGUGCAUGGCUGUCGUCAGCUCGUGUCGUGAGAUGUUGGGUUAAGUCCCGCAACGAGCGCAACCCUUGUUCACUGUUGCCAGCACGUUAUGGUGGGGACUCAGUGGAGACCGCCGGGGUCAACUCGGAGGAAGGUGGGGAUGACGUCAAGUCAUCAUGCCCCUUAUGUCCAGGGCUUCACGCAUGCUACAAUGGCUGGUACAGAGAGUGGCGAGCCUGUGAGGGUGAGCGAAUCUCGGAAAGCCGGUCUCAGUUCGGAUUGGGGUCUGCAACUCGACCUCAUGAAGUCGGAGUCGCUAAUAAUCGCAGAUCAGCAACGCUGCGGUGAAUACGUUCCCGGG